CUUCAGAACAAGAUGUAGAACUCCUAGCUCCUGCACCAUGCCUGCCAGGAAGCUGUCAUGUUCCUGCCUUGAUGAUAAUGGACUGAACUUCCUAACCUGUAUAAUGAAUGAUGUGGCAGAUGGUUUUAGGUUAAAAGAACUCCAACUCCAUUUAACGCCUGGAUGGACAUCUGGAUUAGGUGACUGAUGAAUCCUGCAGAAGUUAGUGCACGAAAAAUCCUUUCUGCAGCAGUUUGAAUACUGAGAUGACCUUCCUCCCUCUCUCCCUCUCCAUCUCUGUCUUUCUGUCCCUCUCUGUGUAUGCACACAUACGUUUGUGCAUGCGUGUGUGACUGUGUGUGUGUGUGUGAACCAGUUAUCUUAUAUACUUU
rnacentral:lncRNA from 1 species